rnacentral:tRNA from 1 species
GCCUGGCUACCUCAGUUGGUAGAGAAAGUGACUCUUGAUCUCAGGGUCGUGAGUUCAAGCCCCACGUUGGGUG